rnacentral:misc_RNA from 1 species
UACGUAGGUGGCAAGCGUUGUCCGGAAUUAUUGGGCGUAAAGCGCGCGCAGGCGGUCCUUUAAGUCUGAUGUGAAAGCCCACGGCUUAACCGUGGAGGGUCAUUGGAAACUGGGGAACUUGAGUACAGAAGAGGAGAGUGGAAUUCCACGUGUAGCGGUGAAAUGCGUAGAUAUGUGGAGGAACACCAGUGGCGAAGGCGACUCUCUGGUCUGUAACUGACGCUGAGGCGCGAAAGCUAGGGUAGCAAACGGG